UACGUAGGUGGCAAGCGUUGUCCGGAUUUACUGGGCGUAAAGGGCGUGCAGGCGGUCUGUUAAGUCUAGGGUGAAAGCUCCCGGCUCAACUGGGAGAGGUCCUUGGAUACUGGCGGACUUGAGGGAGGCAGAGGAAAGUGGAAUUCCCGGUGUAGUGGUGAUAUGCGUAGAUAUCGGGAGGAACACCAGUGGCGAAGGCGGCUUUCUGGGCCUUACCUGACGCUGAGGCACGAAGGCCAGGGGAGCAAACGGG
rnacentral:rRNA from 1 species